rnacentral:rRNA from 1 species
UACAGAGGGUGCAAGCGUUAAUCGGAAUUACUGGGCGUAAAGGGCGCGUAGGCGGUUAAUUAAGUGAGAUGUGAAAUCCCUGGGCUUAACCUAGGAACUGCAUCUUAUACUGGUUGACUAGAGUACUGUAGAGGGUAGUGGAAUUUCCGGUGUAGCGGUGAAAUGCGUAGAGAUCGGAAGGAACACCAGUGGCGAAGGCGGCUACCUGGACAGAUACUGACGCUGAGGCGCGACAGCGUGGGGAGCAAACAGG